AUUGAACGCUGGCGGCAUGCUUUACACAUGCAAGUCGAACGGUAACAGGCCGCAAGGUGCUGACGAGUGGCGAACGGGUGAGUAAUGCAUCGGAACGUGCCCAGUCGUGGGGGAUAACGCAGCGAAAGCUGCGCUAAUACCGCAUACGAGCUAUGGAUGAAAGCGGGGGACCGUAAGGCCUCGUGCGAUGGGAGCGGCCGAUGUCAGAUUAGGUAGUUGGUGGGGGAAAGGCUCACCAAGCCAACGAUCUGUAGCUGGUCUGAGAGGACGACCAGCCACACUGGACUGAGACACGGCCCAGACUCCUACGGGAGGCAGCAGUGGGGAAUUUUGGACAAUGGGCGCAAGCCUGAUCCAGCAAUGCCGCGUGCAGGAAGAAGGCCUUCGGGUUGUAAACUGCUUUUGUACGGAACGAAACGGUCCUGGUUAAUACCCGGGGCUAAUGACGGUACCGUAAGAAUAAGCACCGGCUAACUACGUGCCAGCAGCCGCGGUAAAAC
rnacentral:rRNA from 1 species